rnacentral:rRNA from 1 species
AUUGAACGCUGGCGGCAUGCUUUACACAUGCAAGUCGAACGGCAGCACGGGUGCUUGCACCUGGUGGCGAGUGGCGGACGGGUGAGUAAUACAUCGGAACGUAUCCAGAAGAGGGGGAUAACGCAUCGAAAGAUGUGCUAAUACCGCAUAUUCUCUGAGGAGGAAAGCAGGGGAUCGAAAGACCUUGCGCUUUGGGAGCGGCCGAUGUCUGAUUAGCUAGUUGGUGGGGUAAAGGCCUACCAAGGCGACGAUCAGUAGUUGGUCUGAGAGGACGACCAGCCACACUGGGACUGAGACACGGCCCAGACUCCUACGGGUGGCAGCAGUAGGGAAUAUUGCACAAUGGGCGAAAGCCUGAUGCAGCAACGCC